rnacentral:lncRNA from 12 species
UGCAUACAAAUAAAAGAUGAUUCUAACUAUUUUAUGUUUGUUUUGCUUGUCUACAUUUUCUGUCUUUUCUGUGUAAUUAGCAUGUAAUGCUUUAGUAAUAAGGAAAAGAAAUUUGAUUUUGAAAAAAAUUCAAUUUACUAAAGCAUUCAUGGUUGCAUUAUAGCAAAUAGUUGUAACUGAAGAUGCACAUUUCCAUUAUCUGACUACAGUAGAACAAAUGGUUUGAAAACAGCACAAGCUAAAUUCUAGGAAAUUCUACAUAUUCUUGGGAUAAUGAUUUGCAACGUUUUGAAAUAACAGAUAAUAGUGUUCACCUAAAAUGACCUGGAAACUCAACAAAGCAUUUAAAAAUGAACUGAACCAAAUUUUAAUGUUCUAGAAAUAUGUAGCAUUAUGAAGCUGGAACAUGUUGUUCACGGAUUGGUUUCAUGUUCUGUUCUGGGGCUUUAUCUUUUUUUUUUUUUUUGCACUCAAUACUACAAAAUAGUAACUUGUAUUAUUCUCUCAUGGCAUCACAUGUCUCCAUUUUGUCACCAGGAUGAGAUUGUGUUGUCCCUCAGAGCAAGGACCAGGUCUUAAAAUUCUUUUGCAACAAUUAUCACAGUACUCAACUGACAGGAUUCAAUAUGUAGGAGGCACUAAACACUUGAAAGAUUGAAAUGUUUCUUUUUUCUUUCAGACUUAUUGUCCAACUAACUCAUUUCAUGUGAAAACCCUAAACUGUCUUCAUUACUAGUUUAUAAGCAUAGAAGGAGCUGGAGAAUUCUGAGUAUCAAAAUGAAGUACCAAAGCACAUGCAUGACCAGACUGAAAGAUGGUUGUGUUCUGUACAGCGGCCAUAUUCUGAUGGAUUCUGGAAGACAGAGGGAUGAGACAAGCGGCUGCUGGAGUAUCUCCAACAGGUUUGCUUGCCAAAGAUUUCACUGCGAGGGAGCUCUCAAGUCUCCUGAGACCAUCGGAAUGCUCUUUUCUGCCUACAAGUGCCAGCUCCAUGCAUGUCCUGAGCAGGUUCUGUUGUUGAUGGUGGUUUGGCAUUAUCCACUUUAUGCUCUUGGGGCUCCAGGGAAAUUCCUUGUCAUCUCACUCUGCCGAAGAUGCUGUUUUAUUUUUAAAUCUUGCUAUUCUGGUUUGCCUAUUUUGUUUUAUUUUAUUAGAAGACUGAGGGAUAUUUAAACAGUAUGCUGCUAUAAUUACUCUGUUCUGGCUGAAAUUUGAGGUCACUUUUAAAAAACUGACCUGACAUAGUUAAAUUUGGAAGUAUAGAAAAUAAGACAGGACCUCAUAGAAUUCAACCCCAUGCCACUUGGGGAUAGUUGCAACCUGAAUCAGGAAUUAGAUUUCCAUACCAGGCCCAACUGUCUACAGCUGCCACUAGUGCUUCAGGCAAAAUGGCAAGGAGGACACCAUUUAUUUCUGGUUGCUUCUUGCUGCCUCACUCACUACUGUGUCUGAGCCAGUGGGCACAGCGGCUUGAGUCUUCUGUAUGAGUUAUUACUGGACAGACCUUAGGGGGAUAUGGGCCAUGCAUUCAAAGUCAGGCCACAUCAGCCUAAGUCAGAAAACUUGUAAUUGGUUGAAGGCAGAGGGGUUACCAUCUGUGAGCCAAGAUAUGGG